rnacentral:lncRNA from 10 species
AGUGAGACUGACUGCGUCGGGGUUGAGACUGGGUGGAUGAGGCUCACCCCGGCGGGGAGAAGGGACGAGGAGGGGCGGACAGCGGAAGGUCCGGGAGUGUCCGCCAUAAAGUCGUUUGAGGUGACCGUUGCGUAAUUGUGAGUCUGUGAGAGAAGAUGUGAAGUAUGGCCUCGUCCCGGUCAUCUGGGCGUGCGGGUCCCGGGUUUUGAUCGCGCGUUUGUGUAGAAUAAAAGAAAUGACAGCCACCAUAGAGGAACUAGCCAAAGUUAAUAUUAGUCGGCCAGCCCAGAGUCCCUUCAGGAGUUCUGUGUGACUGGGAAAGGAAAUCUGACAGCACCGGGCACGUGACAGUAGACUACAGGGAAUUCAAUAAGAGUUUGACUCUUCGUCAACAAUAAUCUGGCGCCCAAACGUGGGGCCUCAGAGAAGACUCAGGACCCCUAAGGAGUUGCCUGAAACCGGAGCUAAGGUACCAGCAGGGGCCCAUUGAAGUCCCACUGAGUUCAAGCUUCUCCUCCGGUGGAACUGGUAAGUCCUCCUGAGCCCCAGACCUCUCCUUGACCAGACUUUUCUUAGGCUUCCCUGAGCCCUCUUCUUGAGUAGGCCUGGACCUUGGAUUUCUGUGUCCAUCCUUGCUGCACCCAGUUUUAGCAAGAAUCCUGUUAAGUAGGUUUAGUGAGAAUUCCCUUAUCCUUGAUCAGGUUCCUCAUCUUCCACCCUUAAUGUCUAAGUCCUUGGCCUGCCUUUAGCAGGAUUCUACCCUUAAUACCUAAUCAAGUUCCUGUUUGUGAUUUCCCACCCAUUGACCCCCUUACUCUUAUAGUUGGCUACAAAACCAACUGUUGUUGCUAUAUUGGGGAGUUGAGUUCACUGUCUCUCCCCCAUUGCAAUUGUCUUGAACAGUAUUACUUACCGUUUACACACGUGUAUUCUUUUCCUGUUUCCCU